rnacentral:lncRNA from 1 species
AUUGCUCUGACCAACGUCUAUAUAAUGUCUUUAGACGUCCAGUUAUGCCUCCUUCGACAUUUAGUGACGUCGGACAUGGCACUGACUGACGUCAUUAUAGACGUCGGUAUAUUCACGUCUGACGUCCCAUUGACGUCACUAAAAAUGACGUCGGUUGUUUAAUAGAUGUUAAAAGCCCAAAAUAACUAACGUUAAACAACGUUUUUGUACUAAUGUUUUUAACAUUAGUUGUGAAGAUUUUAACUACAUUAGUUGCCUCCGCCGUUCGUUCCUCAAACCAUCCGCCAAACUUCAACCUUCACCCAGGGGGGGUACCUGUAAAGGCACUCCGACGAUCAAGUUAGAUGUCGGUGUAGGGAGACCCUCAAUCCUCAACAAGUGGAUGCUUAGAAUAGAGAGAGGGUUGGAACUCAAUUAGGUGUGAAAGUAUGAGUGUGAAAGAAUGUGAGCGUACCUUGAAUGGAGCCUUUUGCUCUUUAUUUAUAGGCUUUGGAUUGAUAUAAAAUCAAUAGAACAUAAUAAAAUAUAAACAGAAUGAAAUAUAAACAAACUCACCUGAUAUAUAUCUGUUGGGAUAUUAUUUGAUACGAGAUAUGUGAUACUGUAAAUAUAUGAUACUGUAAAUAUAUGCUACCG